rnacentral:rRNA from 1 species
GGGAGGUAGUGACAAUAAAUAACAAUACAGGGUUCUUUUGGAUCUUGUAAUUGGAAUGAGUACAAUUUAAAUCUCUUAACGAGGAACAAUUGGAGGGCAAGUCUGGUGCCAGCAGCCGCGGUAAUUCCAGCUCCAAUAGCGUAUAUUAAAGUUGUUGCAGUUAAAAAGCUCGUAGUUGAAUUUCGGGAUCAAAGGAUCGGUCAUGCCUUGGUAUGUACUGGUUUUAUUGGUUCUCACCUUCUAAAGAACCAUGAUGUCAUUCAUUUGAUGUUAUGGGGAAUUAGGACUGUUACCUUGAAAAAAUUAGAGUGUUUAAAGCAAGCUUACGCUUGAAUACAUUAGCAUGGAAUAAUGAAAUAGGACGUUUGAUCCUAUUUUGUUGGUUUCUAGGAUUGACGUAAUGAUUAAUAGGGAUAGUUGGG